AUUACCAGGCCCCGAGAAGGCCCAAAGUGCAAAUUUGGCGAGUACACCGUAAAGGUGUCGGGGCUU
rnacentral:tRNA from 1 species